GACGAACGCUGGCGGCGUGCUUAACACAUGCAAGUCGAGCGGUAAGGCCCUUUCGGGGGUACACGAGCGGCGAACGGGUGAGUAACACGUGGGUGACCUGCCUUUAGCUCUGGGAUAAGCCUGGGAAACUGGGUCUAAUACCGGAUAUGACUCCGCGGUGCAUGCUGUGGGGUGGAAAGCCUUGUGCGGCUGGAGAUGGGCCCGCGGCCUAUCAGCUUGUUGGUGGGGUGAUGGCCUACCAAGGCGACGACGGGUAGCCGGCCUGAGAGGGCGACCGGCCACACUGGGACUGAGACACGGCCCAGACUCCUACGGGAGGCAGCAGUGGGGAAUAUUGCGCAAUGGGCGAAAGCCUGACGCAGCGACGCCGCGUGAGGGAAUGAAGGCCU
rnacentral:rRNA from 1 species